GGGCCGCUAGCUCAACGGUAGAGCAGCGGGCUUUUAACCCGUUGGUUCGGGGUUCGAGUCCCCGGCGGCCCACCA
rnacentral:tRNA from 1 species